CACUCUAAGCGGUGGAUCACUCGGCUCAUGGGUCGAUGAAGAACGCAGCAAACUGUGCGUCAUCGUGUGAACUGCAGGACACAUGAACAUCGACAUUUUGAACGCAUAUGGCAGUCCAUGCUGUUUGGUACUU
rnacentral:rRNA from 1 species